rnacentral:lncRNA from 1 species
UUUUUUUUUUUUUUUUGGUCUUUCUAGGGCUGCAUCUGUGGCACACGGAGGUUCCCAGGAGAGGGGUCUAAUCAGAACUGUAGCUGAUGGCCUACGCCACAGCCACAGCAAUGCCAGAUCCGAGCCAAGGCUGAGACCUACACCACAGCUCAUGGCAACGCCAGAUCCUUAACCCACUGAGAGAGGCCAGGGAUCAAAACCACAACCUCAUGGUUCCUAGGUGGAUUUGUUUCCGCUGAGCCACAAUGGGAACUCCAAGAUAAUAAAACUAAUUAUAGUUUUUCAUGUUAGAUUUAGAAUGUAUAUGUUAUCCAUUGCUGAGUGACAGAUUCCCUCAAAACUUAAGUACUUAGCAGCUAAGACAGCACACAUUUCUUAGCUCACAGUUUCUAUGGCUCAGGAAUCCAAGCAUGGCAUAGUUAGGUCCUCCACAUGAGGGUAUGUGAAGAAGCUACAAUGAAAGUGUCAGCAAUGUGAUGUCAUCUCAAAAUUCAACUGGGAUAGAAUUCAUUUUUGUGUUCCAUUAGCAGUUAUAGGCAAGAUCUAGUUUCUGCAGGCUCUUGAACUAAGGCUUCUGUUCUUCACUGGCUGUCAGUCAGAGGCUGCUUCAGUUAUUUGUCAAGUGAGCCAUUCCACAGGAUAGCUCUUAACCUGGCAACUGGCUUCAUCAGAGUGAGCAGGUGAGAGACUGGGAGAGUGUCAGAUGGAAGUCCCAGCCUUUUAUAACCUCUCUCAAAACUGAUUCCCAUUACUUUGUCAUUCUGUUCAUUAGGAGCAAGUCACUAGGGACAGCGGGCUCUUGAGAGGAAGGGACCACACAGGGUGCAAAUGCCAGGAGAUGGGGGUCUGUGGGACCUUCUCAAUGGCAGUCUACCACAAAUUGGGUUCUGAUGCUUUGGACAGGAAGAGUCCUAACUGAAUUUGCUGUGAGGUCUUAAUGAUAUUUAGUUGGCAUUAUGACCACAGAAAUGCAGGAAUACCAGAAUUCAAAGAGAGUUACCCUAUUCCUGAGGUUCCAAAUGGAAUUUUAUGCAUGAUGAACAAUAACAACAGUAAAAAGGUAAUGCAAAACUUUUUUCUUAACCAAACUUCAACCAAAACCCCUACAUACGCAUACACAAAAUUACAUUUAAAUCUGUGGUUUUGCCUCAUAAUCAUUCCUAAUUCGGAAACCUAACAUUACUAAGUGCUGGUCACAUAGGAAAAAAGAAAACUAAAGAGAUGAAAGUGUUUGAGAAUAAACAUGAGAGUGCCCAAGUGUAUACAUGCCUCGAUCCAGACAGCAAAGGAAGAAAUGAGUCCUAAGAAUAAAGAGUUUUAAGUAGACAUUUGAAAGAUAAAACCCAAUGUGAACUUAAGCCAAAUAUGUAAAUGUGAUACUAUGACUACUUGUUGGCCUUGAUGGAGGCAAAACAGAAUCUCCUGCUUGUCAAUUUCAAAUCAUGUGUGUACCAUUCUCAACUUCAUAAUAACGAAAUGUAACUCUCACUUAUCCAGAUGCCAUUUAUCCAGCAAACUGAGUUACUGAAACUCAGCUAAACACCAAAAAGAGAAAUACUACAGAAUAGCCUCAAUUAGUACAUAAAGUCCAUGUACUUUACUGAGGAAAGACUCUUAGGCUCUUAUUUCAAAGUUAUUUACUCUAAGUGCACAGAAAUUUAGAAAAGAAGAAGAUGGUGAGGCGUGAGUAAAAGAACAUACUUUUACAGUACUCAUAAGAAAGAGCAGAGAUCAGAGAUUAACCACCCACAAUAUACAUGAGAAAUUUAAUGCAGGAAAACCUCAGUCAUCCCUGAGGUCAACACCUUGGUUCAUUACAGCAUAAUAAUCAAUUUUCUUAUUAACGAAUAUUUAUUGAGCACCUACCUUGUGUUAGUCCUACACACUAUAGACAUGGCAGGGACUAAAACACAUUCCCCUGUAACUUGUAUUUUACAAGGGAGAGACAUUAAAUAAAGAAAGAAAGAAUAUAUCAGGGAGUGUCGAGUAUGGUUUUUUAUGAGAGUCAAAUGAAUAACAUCUCUCUGCUCUGAUUCCAAGAAAACCAAAAAAACAAAAGUGAAAGAUUGCUAAUAGAGCAAAUAUCACCUUUAUUACUGACGAAGGCUAAGUUGGGGGAUGUACCUGACAAGUUAGCCAGUAACCGUGAACCCCCAAAUUGGACAGGCUUUUCCAUCCAGUUGUAGGCAAGCCUAGGCAAUGGAGGGCAGGCAUCCUCUUAGGUGGAAUAGCCUGGAUGAAGAUGUAUGGCCUGCAGAACCAGGGGGAAGCUGACUGCUCAGGAGAGAAAUGGAGGAGGUGAACAUUUGGUGCACAGUUCCUGUUUCCCCAGUGUUUAAAUUAGAUAAGUCAGUGCUUCCUCCUUAAGUGUGCUCUGAGCGAGUGACAGAAAAGACACCAUUAGUGUUUUUUUACUCCCUCAACACGGAAGGAGACAUCAGCAUUGAAGAGAAGCAUUUCUCCCAUCUUCAACAUUCACCAGCCAGCUUUUGACCUUUUAAUCCACUGGGCUUUUGUGUGUGUGUGUGUGUGUGUCUUUUUUUUUUUUUUUUUUUUUUUUUUUUUUUUUUUUUGCUAUUUCUUGGGCCGCUCCUGUGGCAUAUGGAGGUUCCCAGGCUAGGGGUUGAAAUCGGAGCUGCAGCCACUGGCCUACGCCAGAGCCACAGCAACGCUGGAUCCGAGCCGUGUCUGCAACAGCUCAUGGCAACGCCGGAUCCUUAACCCACUGAGCAACGGCAGGGACCGAACCCGCAACCUCAUGGUUCCUAGUCGGAUUCGUUAACCACUGCGCCACGACAGGAACUCCCCACUGGGCUUUGUUAUCCCUCUCAGAGUAGAGGAAAGAAAUGUACUGAAAUCACCCUGCUCCUCCAAAACCAGUCACUUCUUUGAGAGGAUAUUCCUGGAAGGUUUAGAAUUCACUCCCAGAAAACCCUAAAACAGGAAAACCUUAAAAUAUUUAAACCAAGGAGUCCCAUUGUGGUGCAGCAGAAACGAACCUGACUAGUAAUAAUGAGGUUGUGGGUUCAAUCCCUGGCCUCACUCACUGGAUUAAGGAUCUGGCAAUGCUGUUGCUGUGGUGUAGGUUGGCAGCUAUAGCUCUGAUUUGAUCCCUAGCCUGGGAAUCUCCAUAUGCUGUGAUUGUGGCCCUAAAAAAGCAAAAAAAAGAAAAAGAAAAGGUUUAAACCAACACAAAGGUCACUCUAUACUAAGGUUGGCAACAGAUUCUUUAGUAAAAGUCAACACCUAAGACACUCUGUAAUAAUAAUAUGCUCACAUAAAGAUGAAUAAAAAUUAGAUAUAAACUUUUUUCUAUUAUGUAAUUUCAGAGAAAAACUUAAAAGUUCAAAGAUCAAAUUUCUGCAACUUAAUGUCCAAUAGGAUUAAAGUUCAAUGGAAUCAAGUGCUCUUGCCCAUGCAAGUUAAAGGUCAGUAAAAUUGAGAUCCAAGAGUUUUUCCACCAAAGCCUCUUACUCUGUUCCAGAAGGGGUCUUGUUGCCAGGAUGAAGCCGGGGGUCCUUUAAUCAGCUGCAGUGUACACUGUCUCUUAUGAGAAGAGAGUGGUUGCCUCAGGGCUAUGUAAGUGCAAUGCCAAGUCUUUGAUGUUACGUUCCUUAAUAUAGAGUCCAAAAAGUUAAUUAGACCCAUAAGUAUGUCACAGCACCAGCCAGUACCCAUUAAAUUAGAAAAGAAACAAGUCCCCCCAAAAAACUAUUAUCUCAGGAAAAACUAUGUUUCUUAAACCAAAUAUUUAGUGUUGCAGAGACUCACUGUCACCUUUUUUUAAAAAAUGAGGAUUUGCCAGAAUGUCAGCUAGUCUAAACCUGAUGCCUGAAGCCCAAGACUUGGGGACUUAGAUUAGGAGAAUGAUUCCGGUAAGAGGUUAAUUUCAGCAUUAAACAUUUAACACACCGAGGAGGGCAGAAUCCACCUCCCUCCUGUAUUCAAUCUCUCCUUUCAUUUUGUGGCAUUGAGAAGUUGCUGUCUUCUUACAAGGCUGAAAUUUUACAUUGGUGAGAGCACCACCAGUUCUUUGUCAAGGAUUCUUAUAUUUCCUGUGUGCUUAUCUAAUUUCCAUUUCCCUUUUGAGCUCCUAAUUAUGGCACCCCAUUAGCAAAAGUGCUGGGGUCCUGAAGAGGAGGGGCGGCAGGCACAGGAAGACUAAGGAGACGCAGGCACCCUCCAGGAGUGCACAAGCAGUCUCAAAUUUAUUGGCGAACAGCAGCAGCUUAUAUAGGGAAAAAACUUAAAACUUAUAUCAGCAAAAAAGAUCAAUAUCUCAUAACUGUUCCAGGGUUACAGAUUAAGUGUGAAGAUGGAAAAAGGCAACUGGAUCAGGGAAAGUAUACCAUAAACCUAUUAAAGAGUAAACAAGCAGAAAGCUAGAAGCACAUACAGGUUGCAAACAACCUUGUAAAUGUCACGUACACCUCAUUGUCCUUUAACACAAAUGUCUAUUUACUACCUAGCAACAAUCUUACUUUAACUUCUAACAUUAUGAUAGAUUUUUAUACUUAUACAAUAAAGUAAUAAUAAUCAUCAAUUCCUAACGCCUACAUACUAUAUUGUAAAAACUAAAUAAUUGUGCUGCCUAAUAAAGCAUGCCAAUAUUAUCUAAAAUCAUCAUAUGAAAAAACAGAAACCUCCCCAGAAGCUAUUAUUUUGGAAGUAGACAGCACAGAGCCAUAGCUCCAAAGAUAAACUAAAGGCUAACAAACAAAAAUAGGUUGAGGCUUAAAUAGAGAAUAAUAAAUUCCUUUCUUAAGGCAAAAAGAACACAGAGUUAAGGCACAGUAAGCAAGGCAUGGAUCAAUUAUUAAAAACAAAAAAACAGAAGCCAAAGGUAUGUAUCUCCAGGCACUGGUCUCUAAUGCCUGGUGGGGGUUUUGAGGCCUGGUGGAUAUGCUGUUUUGCAGAGCCUUCUUCAGAAUCUCCUGGACUUUGUUAUCAGGCAGGUUCCUUUCUUCAGAGUCCCCUGGACUUUGUCAUCAGGUGGACUCCCGUCUUCUGAAUCCCCUGGACUUUGUCAUCAGGUGGAUUCCAUUCUUGAAACUCAGCUCCCAGCACAAAAGGAGUGUCGUCUAUCCAGAAUUAAGUUCACCCUCCCUUGAAAUCAGGUACUUUUUGGUUCUAGGCUACAAUGGCUAUUUCCUCUACUCAUCAAAAGAUUUUGUGUCUGUGAGGAUGCAGGUUCGAUCCCUAGUCUUACUCAGUGGGUUAAGAAUGCGGCAUUGCUGCAAGCUGUGGUGUAGGUUGCUGAUGCGGCUCAGAUCCAGUAUUGCUGUGGCUGUGGCGAAGACCUCAGCUGCAGCUCCAACUAGACCUCUAGCUAAGAACUUCAAUAUACUGCAGUUGUGGCACUAAAAACAAAACAAAAGAGCCAGCUUGAGACCAAGUGGUGAAAAGGACUUCUUGAGUCUAUGGAAAGAACACAUAAAUUCAAACUUAACUUUCCACAGUCCCUUCCUCAGGAUUCUCAACAGCAUCUGGGGCCAUGAAAGUAGUCUGCCUACCAGGCCAACACUAACAAAACUAGACCCCAAUAAUGCUCUAUAGGAAAUAUAAGACUUAGUUACCUUGAUAUUUAAAGGCAAUGAACGUGUUCCCUUCCUCUAACAUCUUAAAAGACUGUAUUUUGAAAGCCACUUCAGCCGACUGUCAGCUCUUUGCCUCAGCAAAAUCUGAAGCAAAGCUACACUCACAGAUCUGAAGAAGCUUACACUGGCCAACGCCUGUGCUUGGGCAAGCCUGCACACCGUGCCCCUGUGCUUCCUGCCUUGGUGAGGGCUGCCCACACAGUCAGCAUUUGCCAAGGCCCAAGACACCCCUGUGCUCUUUCUGAGGCCCAAGCAGCCCUGGCUCUCCGAGGCCCAGAAUCCUCAUCUUGGUCCUGUAGGAACAGAGUGGACUUUGAAAACAUCUGUCCAUGAUGUAGUCAUCACCAAGGGUAAGAUACUGCAUGGCCUAAGGCUAAAGCCUCUUGGUCAGGCCACAGUAAUUAAAAACUGCCCAAGAAUAAUCCUCUACAAAGAGCUAAGGUCAGUAUACUCUACCCAUGCAGUAAAAUUCCAAGCCAAAGGCUGCAUACUCUUACCAAACCAGAAUCCUCAAUUGUUCAUAUAUUACUGUCCUGCUCCAAGCUACAGAACUUUAUUUCUCAGUGCAUCAAUUGGGGUCUCAAAGUAAAUAACACUCCUUUUUCCCAAGUUCUGAACAAACUGAGACAUAAGAUGAUAUACCAUGAGGAGUUCAAAAUAGGGCUCUUGUUACAAAGACUAAAUCAGGGAGUCUGGCCAAAAAGGCCAAACAUCAUUGAGCCUCAGAGUGAGGAAAACCUAGCCAUGCAGUUGCAGACAGCAGUUAAGUGGAACAGGUCCUCUCAACGGCUCUUGGAGGGAAAUGCGCCUC